CAAAGAAUAGUUUUUUAAAAAUUAUAAUUUUGGAGAUUAUAGAUAAAGGUAUAUCUUUUUCUUUGA
rnacentral:tRNA from 1 species